AGAGUUUGAUCAUGGCUCAGAUUGAACGCUGGCGGCAUGCCUUACACAUGCAAGUCGAACGGUAACGCGGGGCAACCUGGCGACGAGUGGCGAACGGGUGAGUAAUAUAUCGGAACGUGCCCAGUAGUGGGGGAUAGCCCGGCGAAAGCCGGAUUAAUACCGCAUACGACCUACGGGUGAAAGGGGGGGAUCGCAAGACCUCUCGCUAUUGGAGCGGCCGAUAUCAGAUUAGCUAGUUGGUGGGGUAAAAGCUCACCAAGGCGACGAUCUGUAGCUGGUCUGAGAGGACGACCAGCCACACUGGGACUGAGACACGGCCCAGACUCCUACGGGAGGCAGCAGUGGGGAAUUUUGGACAAUGGACGCAAGUCUGAUCCAGCCAUGCCGCGUGCGGGAAGAAGGCCUUCGGGUUGUAAACCGCUUUUGUCAGGGAAGAAAUCCUUUGAAAUAAUACUUCGGAGGGAUGACGGUACCUGAAGAAUAAGCACCGGCUAACUACGUGCCAGCAGCCGCGGUAAUACGUAGGGUGCAAGCGUUAAUCGGAAUUACUGGGCGUAAAGCGUGCGCAGGCGGUUCUAUAAGACAGAUGUGAAAUCCCCGGGCUCAACCUGGGAACUGCAUUUGUGACUGUAGAGCUGGAGUGCGGCAGAGGGGGAUGGAAUUCCGCGUGUAGCAGUGAAAUGCGUAGAUAUGCGGAGGAACACCGAUGGCGAAGGCAAUCCCCUGGGCCUGCACUGACGCUCAUGCACGAAAGCGUGGGGAGCAAACAGGAUUAGAUACCCUAGUAGUCC
rnacentral:rRNA from 1 species